UACAGAGGUCUCAAGCGUUGUUCGGAUUCAUUGGGCGUAAAGGGUGCGUAGGUGGCGGGGUAAGUCAGGUGUGAAAUCUCGAGGCUCAACCUCGAAACUGCACUUGAUACUGCCUUGCUCGAGUACUGGAGAGGAGAUUGGAAUUUACGGUGUAGCAGUGAAAUGCGUAGAUAUCGUAAGGAAGACCAGUGGCGAAGGCGAGUCUCUGGGAUGAUGCUGACGCUGAUGCGCGAAAGCCAGGGGAGCAAACGGG
rnacentral:rRNA from 1 species